GACAUGUUGAUGUUAGCUAAAUUGUUAUUAAUCAUAGUGGUAGGUAGUAUGAAAUGAAAUAUCUUCUCUUGGAUGUUUGUGUCUAUGUAUUUGUUUGAGAUGACUAUUGAUGCAGGAAGCUUUUCCUGCUUCUUACGAAAAGGGACAUUGGAUGCCUUAAUGUCUAAUACCAACCAAGUGACAUUGCAAAGAUAGGUCAAAUAUAUAUUAAUAUAGAUUACCCUCUGAGUGAUGGUGACAUGUGGUAAAAAGAGAGAGCAAUAUGAAUAUUUGCUGCAUCAUUUACUUCUAUUAUUUAUAUCUUCAAGGUAUCUUACUGAUUUCUUUUGGUUUUAUUUGUGAAAGAAUAUCUUGAGCGGGAGAAUUGGAUCACAAUUGACUAGAUGUUUUACUAUUUUAAAUGAGUUUAUCACAAAGAAUUUUUGACUGAUUCAUUUUCUGUUUCUGUAAUGUAGGUAGAAUAAUCGCAAUGUCGUGGUAGUAAUUCGCGAGAGAUAUGCCAAUAGGGUUUCGCUGUUUUCAAUUCGCAAUCGUGAUGGAUUUGAAGAGGAUAUUGAUGGAGUUUUGGUAUAAUAAAGAACAUGUUCGUUGGAAGGGCACAGAAGAGUUCCGGAUCCUUUUACUAUCGCACAUGUUAUGGUAUUUUUACAAAAAUCAUUGAAGUGCUUAUUUGGAGCCCCUUGUAUUCUGUGGCCCCGUUUCCCCCUUGACUUAUAUUGUUUUCUUUAACCCUUUAGUGCGUGUAAAACUAAAGGCUAUAAGAAGAAGAAUGAUUCAAAAACUGUGGGAGAGAAUCAUCAAAGAAUUAUACUCGUAUAGGUAAUCCUUUCGGAUUCGAUUCCGCCGUUUGUGCUGCGCUUUUCCAUAAAGCACUUCUACAGAGUGACGACUCGUCGCAAGUGCAUGACAUCCAUAUCGAUAACGGUUUCCUGCGUAAAGACGAAUAGGAACAGGUCGUCACUAGUUUACAGCAACUCGGGCUCAAUCUUCGGGUAAUUUGAGAUACUUUUCUGGGCCUUUCAGAAUCUUAUAAUUGGCCAAAGUUUGAUACGAGAUUAAUUGAUACGUCGUCCUGUCACAUCUCAAAUUCUAUGGUUUAUAAUUCUUUUUCUUUAACAGAGUUCUUUUCCAGACAGUGGCUUCUCAUUUCUAUUGUUAUACCAGUGAUCAGAUUUGAUGUUUCGAAUUGUUUUGGGUUGCUAAAGCAAGAUUGACUUUUUACGAUGGCACCAACGUGCAUGGUCGCCAAACUUUGUCGUUGGGUCGGACUGUAAAUCCGGAAGAUAAACGCGAAUUAUUGGCGAUAUGUUUGUCAAAGUGAAUAGAUAGAACGGCUAACGAUUUAAAUGUCAUUUGGGAUAAUCUACUGCUCGGAUAAGACAUCUAGGGGAGAAAUAACUAACUCCGUAGAAUUUUUAUGGAUACGUAAGCUGUCCCGUCAGCUGUUCUAUUUCGCGUGGCUUCGGACAGAGGAUGGCUGCUGAAACGAACGUCUUUUCUUGAAUUUUACCACUGAUUCCGUGUAUUUUGAGUCGCAUCUUGUGAAUUCAAUCAAUGCAGAGUUGUUCAAGGAGGAACAUUGCUUGGUUAGAACGUUUUUCAUCUCCGUUAGUCUGAUAUACCCAUUUUGUUUCAAAGGUGAUAGGUAAAAAGAGUAGUUCUUUAUAAUCUUUUUCUCUGUCCAAUUCUCUUAGAUUCUUGGAGGUGUCAUCAGGUGAUGUUAGAAUUUAUUGGUAAUGGUUUACAUUUUUUAAAUCAUGCUUACAGGUCUUUGAGGUGUACUUGAUGUACUGUUGUUGCCGCAAAAUCAUUCAAUGACUUGGUUCAAUCUAUGACUUGUUUUUUUUCUAUAGUGGUCAACAGUUUUAAUUUGCAGAGAUCCUGGAGGCACCUGAUGUGUUUCAUUGGCAUUGCAGUCACUCGGUGACAGAAGGGAAUGCCACUAAUGUUAUGUUGUCAGUGUAAAUAAAACAUAUCCAGUAUCA